GUACUUAUACCUGGCAGGAGAGAUACCAUGAUCACAAAGGUGGUUUUCCCAGCGUGAGGCUUAUCCAUCCCACACCUACAAUUUCCCCAAAUGUGGGAAACUUGACUGCAUAAUUUUUGGUAGUGGGGGACUGCUAUCACACUUUCCCCUA
ensembl:snRNA U1 U1 spliceosomal RNA